UGAAUAUGGGGGGACCAUCCUCCAAGGCUAAAUACUCCUGACUGACCGAUAGUGAACCAGUACCGUGAGGGAAAGGCGAAAAGAACCCCUGUGAGGGGAGUGAAAUAGAACCUGAAACCGUGUACGUACAAGCAGUAGGAGCACCUUCGUGGUGUGACUGCGUACCUUUUGUAUAAUGGGUCAGCGACUUAUAUUCAGUGGCAAGGUUAACCGUAUAGGGGAGCCGUAGCGAAAGCGAGUCUUAACUGGGCGCUCAGUCUCUGGAUAUAGACCCGAAACCGGGUGAUCUAGCCAUGGGCAGGUUGAAGGUUGAGUAACAUCAACUGGAGGACCGAACCGACUAAUGUUGAAAAAUUAGCGGAUGACUUGUGGCUAGGGGUGAAAGGCCAAUCAAACUCGGAGAUAGCUGGUUCUCCCCGAAAGCUAUUUAGGUAGCGCCUCGGACGAAUACUACUGGGGGUAGAGCACUGUUAAGGCUAGGGGGUCAUCCCGACUUACCAACCCUUUGCAAACUCCGAAUACCAGUAAGUACUAUCCGGGAGACACACGGCGGGUGCUAACGUCCGUCGUGGAGAGGGAAACAACCCAGACCGCCAGCUAAGGUCCCAAAGUAUUGCUAAGUGGGAAACGAUGUGGGAAGGCUCAGACAGCUAGGAUGUUGGCUUAGAAGCAGCCAUCAUUUAAAGAAAGCGUAAUAGCUCACUAGUCGAGUCGGCCUGCGCGGAAGAUGUAACGGGGCUAAGCAAUACACCGAAGCUGCGGCAAUGUCUUUUAGACAUUGGGUAGGGGAGCGUUCUGUAAGCCGUUGAAGGUGAAUCGUAAGGUUUGCUGGAGGUAUCAGAAGUGCGAAUGCUGACAUGAGUAACGACAAAGGGGGUGAAAAACCUCCUCGCCGGAAGACCAAGGGUUCCUGUCCAACGUUAAUCGGGGCAGGGUGAGUCGACCCCUAAGGUGAGGCCGAAAGGCGUAAUCGAUGGGAAACGGGUUAAUAUUCCCGUACUUCUGACUAUUGCGAUGGGGGGACGGAGAAGGCUAGGUGGGCCAGGCGACGGUUGUCCUGGUUCAAGUGCGUAGGCUUGAGAGUUAGGUAAAUCCGGCUCUCUCUAAGGCUGAGACACGACGUCGAGCUACUACGGUAGUGAAGUCAUUGAUGCCAUGCUUCCAGGAAAAGCCUCUAAGCUUCAGAUAGUCAGGAAUCGUACCCCAAACCGACACAGGUGGUCGGGUAGAGAAUACCAAGGCGCUUGAGAGAACUCGGGUGAAGGAACUAGGCAAAAUGGUACCGUAACUUCGGGAGAAGGUACGCUCUUGAUGGUGAAGUCCCUCGCGGAUGGAGCUGACGAGAGUCGCAGAUACCAGGUGGCUGCAACUGUUUAUUAAAAACACAGCACUGUGCAAAAUCGCAAGAUGACGUAUACGGUGUGACGCCUGCCCGGUGCCGGAAGGUUAAUUGAUGGGGUUAGCGCA
rnacentral:rRNA from 1 species